GUGGGGAAUAUUGGACAAUGGGCGAAAGCCUGAUCCAGCCAUGCCGCGUGAGUGAUGAAGGCCUUAGGGUUGUAAAGCUCCUUCAGUAGGGAAGAUAAUGACGGUACCUACAGAAGAAGCCCCGGCUAACUUCGUGCCAGCAGCCGCGGUAAUACGAAGGGGGCUAGCGUUGUUCGGAUUUACUGGGCGUAAAGCGCACGUAGGCGGAUUGGUCAGUUAGAGGUGAAAUCCUGGAGCUCAACUCCAGAACUGCCUUUAAUACUGCCAGUCUAGAGUCCAGAAGAGGUGAGUGGAACUCCUAGUGUAGAGGUGGAAUUCGUAGAUAUUAGGAAGAACACCAGUGGCGAAGGCGGCUCACUGGUCUGGUACUGACGCUGAGGUGCGAAAGCGUGGGGAGCAAACAGGAUUAGAAACCCGAGUAGUCC
rnacentral:rRNA from 1 species